CCUACGGGAGGCAGCAGUGAGGAAUAUUGGUCAAUGGACGAGAGUCUGAACCAGCCAAGUCGCGUGAAGGAUGAAGGCCCUAUGGGUGGUAAGCUUCAUUUAUAUGGAAGUAAAAUGUUCCACGUGUGGGAGGUUGUAUGUACCAUAUGAAUAAGGAACGGCUAACGCCGUGCCAGCAGCCGCGGUAAUAAGGAGGAGCAGAGCGUUAUCCGGAUUUAGUGGGUGUAAAGGGAGCGUAGGUGGGUUGUUAAGUCAGUUGUGAAAGCUGGCGGCUGAACCGGAAAAUUGCAGGUGAAACUGGCAGUCUUGAGUACAGGAGAGGUAGGCGGAAUUCGUAGUGUAGCGGUGAAAUGCUUAGAUAUCACGAAGAACUCCGAUUGCGAAGGCAGUUCACUGGACUGCAACUGACGCUGAGGCUCGAAAGUGUGGGUAUCAAACAGGAUUAGAUACCCGUGUAGUC
rnacentral:rRNA from 1 species